GUUGUUUCGUAUUUGUAGUAGAACGAAACGUAUCAAGAGGCUCGGAUAAAUCGGAGGGAAGAAGCUAUCUACUGUUGGUUAAAGAGAGAUAGCACUUAUCCGUGAUUGUGAAACGCAAACUAAGGACAGAUACGCUCUUGCUGAUAUUCGGAGAUAGCUAUCUAUCCGAAAACUCAGAUACGUUAUUGAAAACGGCCGUUAACCACUGCCAAAUAUGAAUGCGAACCUACCUACCGUCAGCAAAAAAAAGCGUUAAAUCAUAACUACACAACACUAUUUUUAGAUUGGUCUUUUUUUCAUUUGUGGCCAUAUCUAGUACCGUAAAAGCAAUAUAUAUGUAAGUAGUUGGAGCCAAAACAAUAGAGCAUUUCACACUACAUGUUCAUAUGCAAAUUAGAGGACGGAAAGACUUACUGAAAACGUGGAAACUAUGUGGGCUGGCAACAUUUACGUUGUCGAUGUCUAUGGACUCCAGUAACUACUUAACACCAGGUGGACCGAGAGCUCCUUUACUCAUCUAAAAAAAGGUAUGGAUUUUUUACAAAAACAUAAAGAAUGUCGUGGACUUGUUCUACAAGUAUUUAUCAAUUUAGUGAGUUUUCAAAUUUGUACUAAAAUAUUAUGUUUUACAAAAAUAUUCAGAUAUUUAAAGCAGACAAAAAUAAACCCUAAUUAUUUGUCGAGUAUUAGUACUACUGUUUGUAAGAACUAUCUACAAAUUUCCCAUCAGUUUUGUUCAAAUUACUCAUACAAGGGUGUAAAGGAACAGUUUCCGAAACUCAAAGAGCAUUGCACGUAAAGAGGUUUAAGAUAAAAAAUUGUGAGGGUUAGCCAUUUUCCUCCGCCAGGCGGCAGUAGGCGGAGGCAGCCGACAGAACCUUCUGGAAGCCCCGCCCCAGUAUUCUCUACGAAAGCAGCGCACGCCCUCGUUUUCGAGAACUGUUCCCGUACUGUAUUUAUAAGACAACAUUUUUAAACAAAGUCCAUAACAAAUUUUAAAUCAAGUCGUCUAGUAAAAUUAUUUAUUCAAAAUUAACAAUUCUAAUGCAAAUAGGCUCAUAUAAAAAAAAACAAAAGUGUUGCCUUAUAAACUGUAUUAAAAACUACUAAAUUAGUAUAAUUAAUAUAUGAUUAGUACCUGGUGUUUAGUAACCUGCCAGUUAUUCUUUGGGCCUUCCCUAGUCUCAUACAUACUGACCGGUCGCUGCGAGCCCUUGGCCGGCCUCACGUCGACCUCGCGGCCCAGCUCGGACUCGAGACUCUUGCCGCGCUCCUGCGCCGCGAAGCCAUCGAGACCACUACAGCUCUCCCCGGUCAGUGACGUCACACUGUCGUCAUCGAUGCUGCUCGUCUUCAAAACGCUGUUCUCUUUAGUCAAUCUCUCGACUAUGGUUUGUAGAUUCCUCAACUGAGUUUUUAGCUCGUCUAUGGUCGAGUCUUUGUCGUGCAGUUCUUUUUUUAAAUGCUGUAUCUGGUCGUCUCGUUCCGGCGUGGCCUGAGCCGGACAGCUGGGCGACUGGGUGCGGCGCGGGUCGGCGAUGGGUGACUGUUCAGUGGGCAAGCCCGGGCUGUACGUCGCCGACACGGCGUCCCCUCGCCGCGGGGUCACUGUCGAUAGCUGUUGAUUACGGAGAGGAAUACUAACGUCGAGUUCGAUGGGCGCCAGGGCCGCGUAGUCCUCGUCCGAAGCGACCGAGUCGUAGAGCGGCUCGUCGUCCGACAUCUGCGACACGUGCCGCAAGUGGCUCGCGGACAGCAGCGGAUUCAGGGGACCCGACAUCGCUGUGUGCACAAUACAUUUGUCUGUCACACUACGCAAUCUAUCAUGUGCUGAGUUAUGGAAAAUCAAUAAAAAUAAAGUGAGAAACAUAUUAAUUAAAAACAAAUAAUUGACAGCACUCAACAGAAUGUGUAUUCGAGGGGUGCAAGGCUGUUUGGUUUAAGCGACAUUUAAGAGUUGAGGUGACGUGGCGGGUACCUGCGGGCUGCAGCGCGGCCAUGCGCUGUCGUCGCGUGGCGUCGAGCAGCACGUCGCGCAGCAGGGCGGCGAGCUCGCGCGGCGACAGGCGGGCCAGCUUCUGGCGGCCCUGGUUGCGCGGCGCCGACAGCGCGGGGUUCACCGGCAGGAACGCGGCGCCGCUGCGCUCCAGCCCCGACGCGCUCGUCUGCCAGACUGCGGCAACGGACACGCACAGUUUCCCUCUGGCGGCUUUGGCGACGUCGGUCAUCUCGUGCGUGUCGUGGGCUCGCGGCACGAUGUAGUGUCUGCCGGCCGCGUGGUCGGGCUUCUCGCCGGUCAGGAAGUGGAUCAUGCGGUCCGUGGCCUCGUACACCAGCUCCGUCAUGCGCUCCGCCAACUCCGCAUGCCCCCCCUGCCUGUGGAGCACACUCCGAGUGUUCAGUGAACGGAUAAUAAAUAUCCCAUUUAAUAAAUAUGCUUAGUGUAGGUUACAUGAAACCAUCCAGUUCUGGGUCAAGGGAGAACGUGUCGAAGUGUGAUCUAUGAGCUCAGGUAAAAAACGUAUUAAGAAAUAAUUUAGAUUUACCUGUUGAUACUCUGAAAUGUAUUUUUUUGUGGAAAUAAAAAGAGAUAAGAAUGUCUCGUUCCAAUAAA